rnacentral:rRNA from 1 species
UACGGAGGGGGCUAGCGUUGUUCGGAAUUACUGGGCGUAAAGGGCGCGCAGGCGGCUGCUCAAGUCAGGCGUGAAAGGCCUGGGCUCAACCCGGGAAUUGCGCUUGAGACUGGGCUGGCUUGAGUGCGGGAGAGGAUGGUGGAAUUCCCAGUGUAGAGGUGAAAUUCGUAGAUAUUCGCAAGAACACCAGUGGCGAAGGCGGCUCACUGGCCCGGUACUGACGCUGAGGUGCGAAAGCGUGGGGAGCAAACAGG